UGGGGAAUAUUGGACAAUGGGCGCAAGCCUGAUCCAGCCAUGCCGCGUGAGUGAUGAAGGCCUUAGGGUUGUAAAGCUCUUUUAGCAGGGACGAUAAUGACGGUACCUGCAGAAAAAGCCCCGGCCAACUUCGUGCCAGCAGCCGCGGUAAUACGAAGGGGGCUAGCGUUGCUCGGAAUCACUGGGCGUAAAGCGCACGUAGGUGGGUCGUUAAGUCGGGGGUGAAAUCCCGGAGCUCAACUCCGGAACUGCCUUCGAUACUGGCGACCUUCGAGUCCGGGAGAGGUGAGUGGAACUGCGAGUGUAGAGGUGAAAUUCGUAGAUAUUCGCAAGAACACCAGUGGCGAAGGCGGCUCACUGGCCCGGUACUGACACUGAGGUGCGAAAGCGUGGGGAGCAGAC
rnacentral:rRNA from 1 species